rnacentral:lncRNA from 1 species
AUGAUGGAAAAUUUGGGGGAAGAAAAUGGAAGACCUCAAUUACAAGUGUGGAAGCACAUAGGUCUACUGAUAAUGAUGAGACAAACCAAAGUGACAGUAAGAAAGAAGAGAAUUUCAGAGCGUGAAGGCUCUGGAAGGAUCUGUUUGAACUUGUACGUUUGUUGCAGAAAGGUAAUGAAUCUGCUGUGGAAGAGACAUCAGCAUAUGCAGAAAAAAAACCAAAAAAACUGUAUUUUUGAAGAAUGCAGCUGCAUUUGGGUUUUCCAUACACUGAGAAGACAAGGUCUCCUGUAAACAAAGUAGUGAUUGCCCUAGUAAAGGAAUCUGGGCAAGUAAAAUGCAUAUAUGGCAGCUAGUAGACAGUAGACAAAAAGUCUGAAUGUUUAGGAAAUGGUUUUAUGAGAACAUCAAGGUACUUAUUUGAAAACAAGGCUUUGCUUUUAUAUCUGUUCCUUGAUGAAGGAUAUGUUGAUUGUGUAAGCUCAAUGAGAAUUGCUCACGUACAAGAAUCCCUCCCCAGUUACAGAAACUGAGAGCAAAAAUGCACUCUUUCCUCUUGAGCCGCCACCAGCUGUGCCUGCUGCUGUACCUGGCAGACUGGCAGCAGCACUCGAGCAGACCUGUUCUGAAAUCCAGCCUUUGGACGGGGUAUUCCUGUUCAUGGGAAUGCUAGCAGCAAAUCGACCACACAAGAAACGUGUUAAAUGGUGAACCAUCAACUGAGAGACUUGGGUGUGGUAUAUAUUUCUGAAUAGCUUUUCCUGGCUUUUCCUCAGAGUCCGUCCUAAUUUGAAAAAUGGCGCUUCCUUCAGAGCAGUGUAACUUAUUUCUGAAACAGAUUUAUUUUAGUUUCAUUCCCCCCCUCCUUCCCAAAUAAGAGCAUCCACUUCGAGUAAUCAAAGUAGCAAUUUCUUAAAUUCUUAUGUUUCUUUAGUUCAAAUGGUUUCACUUUUGGAGGGACUUGAGUGAAGUUUGAUGUACUUAAAUUUUCCACAUAUCUUUGAGAUCUAUUUUAAGUCACGUAGUCAAGCUGUCAAAAAACUGGAAAGCUUGUACUAAAAGUUGAAAUGCUGCUUAUUUGCCUCUGUUUUAAUACUUUACUUGUCCAGUGUGCUUCCCAAUCAGUUGACUGUAUUUUAUAUUAUGUGAGUUAAAACUUAAUUUGAAAUAAGAGAUGAGGGCUUUUUAGCUUCUUUCUCUUUUAAAACAUACUCCCAAGAGAAUGCUGGAGGCUUUUUGUAACUAAUUACCUGAUACCUGAGGUUUGAUAUUUGACAUGCUUAUGUAAAAUUAUGUGAUUCAAUAUAACUUUUUAAAAUUAAACUGAGAAGGCAUAGUUAAAAUUGAGUGGAGAAAAGGUUUUUACUGUUACUUCAAUAAUAAUAUAUAUUAAGUUCUUUUCUACUCUUAAUGUAAGUAACACUCCAGCUGUAAUGUAAUUCUAAAUAAACAGUUAUAUAAAUGGAUGCA